rnacentral:rRNA from 1 species
UACAGAGGUCCCGAGCGUUGUUCGGAUUCAUUGGGCGUAAAGGGUGCGUAGGCGGCGGGGAAAGUCUGAUGUGAAAUCCUGGGGCUCAACCCUGGAACUGCAUUGGAUACUUCCUUGCUAGAGUACUGGAGAGGAAACUGGAAUUUACGGUGUAGCAGUGAAUGCGUAGAGAUCGUAAGGAAGACCAGUGGCGAAGGCGAGUUUCUGGACAGUUACUGACGGCUGAGGCACGAAGGCCCAGGGGAGCAAACGGG